CUACGGGUUGCACCAGUGGGGAAUAUUACACAAUGGAGGAAACUCUGAUGUAGCAACGCCGCGUGGAGGAUGACACAUUUCGGUGCGUAAACUCCUUUUAUAUGGGAAGAUAAUGACGGUACCAUAUGAAUAAGCACCGGCUAACUCCGUGCCAGCAGCCGCGGUAAUACGGAGGGUGCAAGCGUUACUCGGAAUCACUGGGCGUAAAGCGCGCGCAGGCGGCUUUGUAAGUUGGAUGUGAAAUCCUAUGGCUCAACCAUAGAACUGCAUCCAAAACUACUUAGCUAGAGUCUGGGAGGGGAAGAUGGAAUUCGUGGUGUAGGGGUAAAAUCCGUAGAGAUCACUAGGAAUACCAAAAGCGAAGGCGAUCUUCUGGAACAGUACUGACGCUGAGGCGCGAAAGCGUGGGGAGCAAACAGGAUUAGAUACCCUCGUAGUC
rnacentral:rRNA from 1 species